UAGUGUGAAGCUCAAGGAGCACUGGGUC
rnacentral:piRNA from 1 species